rnacentral:rRNA from 1 species
UCUAGCCUUAUCGGUGGAUCACUCGGCUCGUAGUUCGAUGAAGAACGCAGCCAACAGCGAUAUUUAGUGUGAACUGCAGAAACUUUGAACACAAAGCCUUCGAAUGUACAUGACGCCUGAGGUGUUAAAUCCUCUGGCACGGCUGGUUCAGGGUCGUU